rnacentral:rRNA from 1 species
GAUGAACGCUGGCGGCGUGCUUAACACAUGCAAGUCGAACGAGAAAUGUAGACGGAAACCUUCGGGCGGAAGCCUUCAUUUCGAGUGGCGGACGGGUGAGUAACGCGUGGGUAACCUGCCUCAUACAGGGGGAUAACAGUUGGAAACGACUGUUAAUACCGCAUAAGACCACAGCAUCGCAUGAUGCGGGGGUAAAAACUCCGGUGGUAUGAGAUGGACCCGCGCUCGAUUAGCCAGUUGGCGGGGUAACGGCCCACCAAAGCGACGAUCGAUAGCCGAUCUGAGAGGAUGACCGGCCACAUUGGGACUGAGACACGGCCCAAACUCCUACGGGAGGCAGCAGUGGGGAAUAUUGCACAAUGGGGGAAACCCUGAUGCAGCGACGCCGCGUGAGUGAAGAAGUACUUCGGUAUGUAAAGCUCUAUCAGCAGGGAAGAAAAUGACGGUACCUGAGUAAGAAGCCCCGGCUAACUACGUG